CCCGAAUUAAGGGUAUUUAGAAUUAAAUUUUUUUUAUAUGUUUUAUAUUAUUAAUUAAUUUGUUUCUGGUAAUUAUAAGUUAUACGUUCCUUAAAUAUAUCUGGUUUUAUAGGAAUUAAAUUUAAUUUGAGUUUAUUUUUUAAACAAAUAUAAUUGGGGAUAAUCUCAAUUUUUUGAUAAAAUUUAUUUUAUUUUGUUUUUUUUAUCUUUAGUAUCUUUGAAAUUUUAGUUCGUAAUAGAUUUGAAUUUUUAUUUAUGAUUUUUUUAUAUUUAUCUUUGUACUAUAAUAAUUUAUUUAAUUUUUAUUUAUUUUUUUUAAUGAUUAAAUUAGUAUAAUUUUUAUUUAAUUAUUUAUGAAUUCGACAAAUUUAAUUUUCAACUGUUUAUCAAAAACAUUUUCUUAAGAAUUAUUAUUUAAGGUAUAUUCUGCCCUAUGAUGUUUAAAUUUAAAUGGCUGCAGUAUACUGACUGUGCAAAGGUAGCAUAAUAAUUAGUUUCUUAAUUAGGGGCUUGUAUGAAUGAAUUAAUGAGAAAUUUAUUUUAUUAUAAUUAUUUUUAUAAUUUAACUUUUGAGUCAAAAUGCUCAAUUAUAUUAUUGGGACGAUAAGACCCUAUAGAACUUUAAGUUAUUAAUUAUUUUUAUUUUAAUUUGGUAUUAAUUAUUUUUUUAAUUAUUUUCUUUUUGCUGGGGUGGUGAAUCAAUUUUAACUUUAUUUUUACUAUUCAUUGAUUUAUGUGUUUUAAUGAUCCAUUAAUAUUAUGAUUAUAAGAUUAAGUUACCUUAGGGAUAACAGCGUAAUUUUAAUGGAAAGUUCAUAUUUAUAUUAAAGUUUGCGACCUCGAUGUUGAAUUAAGAUAAAAUUAAGGGGUAGGUUCUUUAAUAUUAGGUCUGUUCGACCUUUAAAUUCUUACAUGAUUUGAGUUCAAACCGGUGUAAGCCAGGUUGGUUUCUAUCUAAUUAUUUAUUUAUCUUUUUAGUACGAAAGGACCAUUAGAUUCUAUCUUAUAGUUUAUUUGAAUUUUAUUAUUGAAUUGGCAGAUUA
rnacentral:rRNA from 1 species